AACGAACGCUGGCGGCAGGCUUAACACAUGCAAGUCGAGCGCCCCGCAAGGGGAGCGGCCGACGGGUGCGUAACGCGUGGGAACGUACCCUUAUCUUCGGGAUAGCUCCGGGAAACUGGAAUUAAUACCGAAUGUGCUCUUUGGGGGAAAGAUUUAUCGGAUAAGGAUCGGCCCGCGUUGGUUUUGCUAGAUGGUGGGGUCAAGGCCUACCAAUGCGACGAUCCUUAGCUGGUCUGAGAGGAUGAUCAGCCACAUUGGGACUGAGACACGGCGCUAGCUCCUACGGCAGGCAGCAGUGGGGAAUGUUGGACGAUGGGCGCAAGCCUGAUCCAUACAUGCCGCGUGAGUGAUGAAGUCCUUAGGGUUGUAAAGCUCUUUCACCGGAGAAGAUAAUGACGGUACCCGAAGAAGAAGCCCCGGCUAACUUCGUG
rnacentral:rRNA from 1 species